rnacentral:rRNA from 1 species
GACGAACGCUGGCGGCGUGCUUAACACAUGCAAGUCGAACGGAAAGGCCCUGCUUUUGUGGGGUGCUCGAGUGGCGAACGGGUGAGUAACACGUGAGUAACCUGCCCUUGACUUUGGGAUAACUUCAGGAAACUGGGGCUAAUACCGGAUAGGAGCUCCUGCUGCAUGGUGGGGGUUGGAAAGUUUCGGCGGUUGGGGAUGGACUCGCGGCUUAUCAGCUUGUUGGUGGGGUAGUGGCUUACCAAGGCUUUGACGGGUAGCCGGCCUGAGAGGGUGACCGGCCACAGUGGGACUGAGAUACGGCGCAGACGCCUACGGGAGGCAGCAGUGGGGAAUAUUGCACAAUGGGCGGAAGCCUGAUGCAGCAAAGACGAGUGCGGGAUGACGGCCUUCGGGUUGUAAACCGCUUUCGCCUGUGACGAAGCGUGAGUGACGGUAAUGGGUAAAGAAGCACCGGCUAACUACGU